UUAUACUACCCUUUCAUUAAACUUCAUCUUUCUCAACUGGGUUCAUUUUGUUUUAAUUUUUGUCCAAAUCGUCUUCCUCUUUCUUUAGAUUAUUUAAUUUAAUAGCUGAAAUUCUACCUAACCCUCUUCAGUAUUCUUCAGCCUUUAUUUUCUUCCGAAGUUUAUAAUUUUUUUAAUUUGUUAUUAACUAAAAAAAAGUCUUGAUUUUUGCACAACUCAGACACUAGAUAUUUUUGUUUUUAUGCAUGUUAAAGUGUCAAGAGAGAAACUUUAAUGGAUUUUCUUUUCAGUAUUUCAAGUAUAAUUCUUUUUUUGCUACUUGAUAGCAUCCUCGUUGUUUCAGUUUUUCUUUCUUAGAGGGAAACUUGUGCUUCUUCUCUAUUCUUGUGCAUAAAUAUAUUCAUCUUGCACUAAACUUUGUGGCAUCUUACAUUUGGUUGUGAACUAGGCCCUUUUUGUAGAAGUACAUCAAUAACAACAACAAUCCAGUAUAAUCUCACUUAGUGGGCUUUGGAGAGGGUAGUAUGUAUGUAGACCUUACCCCUAUCCUUAGGUAGAGAGGCUGUUUUUAAAUAGACCUCCGACAUCUUUUCCUCCAAGAACUUCCCUUGCUCUUGGGAUAUGUAAGUCAUUCUUUUCUCUUGCUUUUGUUUUGUUUAUUGCUAAUAUAAUGAAUUUGUUCGUUUUAUUCAUUUCAGGUCUUCGUAAUCAUAAUUGGACGCGCUACCAAUUCUUGUCAAGUCUUC
rnacentral:lncRNA from 1 species